UGAAAUCCUUGGAGAAGUGGCCGGCGGCCGCGC
rnacentral:sRNA from 1 species